UUUCCGUAGGUGAACCUGCGGAAGGAUCAUUACCGAGUGUGGGUCUCUCAGGCCCGCCCUCCCACCCUGUGUCUUUGUGACCUUGUUGCAUUGGCUGUCCGCUUCGUUGGGAGUCCGCCGGAUGUUCACCGCUUUGGGCCCAUGCCCGCCAGUAGCCCCCUUAAAUUCUUAAUAAACCUGUCGUCUAAGUCAAGAAAUAAUAAAAAAAACUUUCAACAACGGAUCUCUUGGUUCUG
rnacentral:misc_RNA from 1 species